GGAGGAGUAAUCAAGCCUGGCCAAAGUAAGUACACUUUGUGCUUUUGGACAUGCAGGACUUAAGAUCAAAUAAUGGGUGAUCCUGUCUCUCAGGAGUUCGUGGGUUCAAAUCCCACCUCCUCCA
rnacentral:tRNA from 1 species